GACUCACAACUGCUACAAGAAGAUGGC
rnacentral:piRNA from 1 species